UUGACCUCGAAUCAGGUAGGGAUACCCGCUGAACUUAAGCAUAUCAAUAAGC
rnacentral:rRNA from 3 species